GGGCGUGUAGCUCAGCUGGUUAGAGCGUUCGGCUUAUAUCCGAAUGGCCGGGGGUUCGAAUCCCUCCACGCCCA
rnacentral:tRNA from 1 species